rnacentral:rRNA from 1 species
GGUCAUAGUGAUCCGGUGGUUCUGAAUGGAAGGGCCAUCGCUCAACGGAUAAAAGGUACUCCGGGGAUAACAGGCUGAUACCGCCCAAGAGUUCAUAUCGACGGCGGUGUUUGGCACCUCGAUGUCGGCUCAUCACAUCCUGGGGCUGAAGUCGGUCCCAAGGGUAUGGCUGUUCGCCAUUUAAAGUGGUACGCGAGCUGGGUUUAGAACGUCGUGAGACAGUUCGGUCCCUAUCUGCCGUGGGCGUUGGAAGAUUGAAGGGGGCUGCUCCUAGUACGAGAGGACCGGAGUGGACGAACCUCUGGUGUUCGGGUUGUGUCGCCAGACGCAUUGCCCGGUAGCUAAGUUCGGAAUCGAUAACCGCUGAAAGCAUCUAAGCGGGAAGCGAGCCCUGAGAUGAGUCUUCCCUGAUACUUUAAGUAUCCUAAAGGGUUGUCGGAGACUACGACGUUGAUAGGUCAGGUGUGUAAGUGCUGUGAGGCAUUGAGCUAACUGAUACUAAUUGCCCGUGAGGCUUAACCAUACAACACCCAAGGGGUUU